rnacentral:rRNA from 1 species
ACUGGUGAUUAGAGCAAGAGGUGAACACACGAUCCCAUUCCGAACUCGAACGUGAAAAUUCUUAGCGCUGAUGUUAUUGCAUCUUAAGGUGUGAGAAAGUAGGUCAUUGCCAGUC